rnacentral:lncRNA from 1 species
AACCUUUAAAUUCUAGAUUGUAGCAAUAAUGGAAGAGAUAGAAGACAUUUAUGUACAAAUACUAUUCCUUUUCCCAGCACCAAUAUACUUCUUUCUAUCACAGCUUCAGUUUAAAAGCAUUCAAGGAGUUUCUGAAGCCUACAGCUUGUGAAGAAGAGUGCCUCAUCUGCUGGAAGAACACACUUUACAUAAAAGAGGAUGAGAUUUGGAGAAUGAGAACAUUACUGGAGCCUGACGUGGGGGAAACCAACAAGCCAGGAAGGACGAAAUCAGUUGAGGACCCUGAUGUCAUUGUCUUCUCAAGCAGGAAUGACACUGACCAGCCCCUCCACAAACGCAGAUGGAGCAGCGCCUGACUCAGCAUACCCCAGUUUGCCUCAUGUGUCCAUAAACAGCAAAUACAAAUUUCCCCCUUUAGAAUCAGAGAACCUCAGAGUUGGAAAGGUAUUUAGAGAUCACAUACAGUAGCCCUCUUGUUUUUCUUAUGAAUCAGGACCUGGGGGAACCCGGGUGGCUCAGUGGUUGAGCAUCUGCUUUUGGCCUAGUUGUCAUCCAGGGGACCUGGGAUCAAGUAUUGCAUUGGGCACCCCGUGGGGAGCCUGCUUCUCCCUCUGCCUGUGUCUCUGCCUCUCUCUGUGUGUCUCUCAUUAACGAUUAAGUAAAAUCUUUAAAAAGAAAAAAAACAACAACAUUGGGGCCUGGGCCCAGGGAAAUGAAGCCAUUGGCCCAGCGGUUAUUAUUAUUAUUAGCUGAGUUAAAACUAGAGGUAAAAGUUUCUUACCCUCUAGCCAGACACCAUCCACUCACUACAGAAUGUGCUUGCUUGGUAUUCAAGAGUAGCAUUGGAACCAAAGUCCUG